UACGUAGGGUCCGAGCGUUGUCCGGAAUUAUUGGGCGUAAAGGGCUCGUAGGCGGUUUGUCACGUCGGGCGUGAAAACUCAGGGCUCAACCCUGAGCGUGCGUUCGAUACGGGCAGACUAGAGGUAUGCAGGGGAGAACGGAAUUCCUGGUGUAGCGGUGGAAUGCGCAGAUAUCAGGAGGAACACCGGUGGCGAAGGCGGGGUCUCUGGGCCGACAUUUGACGCUGAGGAGCGAAAGCGUGGGGAGCGAACAGG
rnacentral:rRNA from 1 species